GCGUAAGGGGCAGUAAUGCGUGGGUAACCAACCCUCGGGAUGGGGAUAGCCACGGGAAACUGUGGGUAAUACCCAGCGACGUUGCUGAAAGGCAUCUUUUAGCAACCAAAGGUGUGAUUCCGCCCGGGGACGGGCUCACGUGGUAUUAGCUAGUUGGUGGGGUAACGGCCUACCAAGGCGAUGAUGCCUAGCGGGUGUUAGCGCACGACCCGCGCCACUGGGACUGAGACACUGCCCAGACACCUACGGGUGGCUGCAGUCGAGAAUCUUCGGCAAUGGGCGCAAGCCUGACCGAGCGACGCCGCGUGGAGGAUGAAGGCCUUCGGGUUGUAAACUCCUGUCAGGGGGGAGGAAAUCCAGGUGGGCUCUCCCAUCUGGUUGACCUAUCCCCAGAGGAAGCACGGGCUAAGUUCGUGCCAGCAGCCGCGGUAAGACGAACCGUGCAAACGUUGUUCGGAAUCACUGGGCUUAAAGGGCGCGUAGGCGGUGCGUUAAGUCGGCGGUGAAAUACUUCGGCUCAACCGGAGAAUUGCCGCUGAAACUGGCGUGCUGGAGGGAGGUAGAGGUGCAUGGAACUUCCGGUGGAGCGGUGAAAUGCGUUGAUAUCGGAAGGAACGCCUGUGGCGAAAGCGGUGCACUGGACCUCCUCUGACGCUGAGGCGCGAAAGCUAGGGUAGCGAACGGGAUUAGAUACCCCGGUAGUCCUAGCCGUAAACGAUGGGUACUAGAGAGUAGAUGCUCCGAUGCGUUUACUCUCGAAGCAAAAGUGCUAAGUACCCCGCCUGGGGAGUAUGGUCGCA
rnacentral:rRNA from 1 species